rnacentral:rRNA from 2 species
GACGAACGCUGGCGGCGUGCCUAAUACAUGCAAGUCGAACGAACUCUGGUAUUGAUUGGUGCUUGCAUCAUGAUUUACAUUUGAGUGAGUGGCGAACUGGUGAGUAACACGUGGGAAACCUGCCCAGAAGCGGGGGAUAACACCUGGAAACAGAUGCUAAUACCGCAUAACAACUUGGACCGCAUGGUCCGAGUUUGAAAGAUGGCUUCGGCUAUCACUUUUGGAUGGUCCCGCGGCGUAUUAGCUAGAUGGUGAGGUAACGGCUCACCAUGGCAAUGAUACGUAGCCGACCUGAGAGGGUAAUCGGCCACAUUGGGACUGAGACACGGCCCAAACUCCUACGGGAGGCAGCAGUAGGGAAUCUUUCACAAUGGACGAAAGUCUGAUGGAGCAACGCCGCGUGAGUGAAGAAGGGUUUCGGCUCGUAAAACUCUGUUGUUAAAGAAGAACAUAUCUGAGAGUAACUGUUCAGGUAUUGACGGUAUUUAACCAGAAAGCCACGGCUAACUACGUGCCAGCAGCCGCGGUAAUACGUAGGUGGCAAGCGUUGUCCGGAUUUAUUGGGCGUAAAGCGAGCGCAGGCGGUUUUUUAAGUCUGAUGUGAAAGCCUUCGGCUCAACCGAAGAAGUGCAUCGGAAACUGGGAAACUUGAGUGCAGAAGAGGACAGUGGAACUCCAUGUGUAGCGGUGAAAUGCGUAGAUAUAUGGAAGAACACCAGUGGCGAAGGCGGCUGUCUGGUCUGUAACUGACGCUGAGGCUCGAAAGUAUGGGUAGCAAACAGGAUUAGAUACCCUGGUAGUCCAUACCGUAAACGAUGAAUGCUAAGUGUUGGAGGGUUUCCGCCCUUCAGUGCUGCAGCUAACGCAUUAAGCAUUCCGCCUGGGGAGUACGGCCGCAAGGCUGAAACUCAAAGGAAUUGACGGGGGCCCGCACAAGCGGUGGAGCAUGUGGUUUAAUUCGAAGCUACGCGAAGAACCUUACCAGGUCUUGACAUACUAUGCAAAUCUAAGAGAUUAGACGUUCCCUUCGGGGACAUGGAUACAGGUGGUGCAUGGUUGUCGUCAGCUCGUGUCGUGAGAUGUUGGGUUAAGUCCCGCAACGAGCGCAACCCUUAUUAUCAGUUGCCAGCAUUAAGUUGGGCACUCUGGUGAGACUGCCGGUGACAAACCGGAGGAAGGUGGGGAUGACGUCAAAUCAUCAUGCCCCUUAUGACCUGGGCUACACACGUGCUACAAUGGAUGGUACAACGAGUUGCGAACUCGCGAGAGUAAGCUAAUCUCUUAAAGCCAUUCUCAGUUCGGAUUGUAGGCUGCAACUCGCCUACAUGAAGUCGGAAUCGCUAGUAAUCGCGGAUCAGCAUGCCGCGGUGAAUACGUUCCCGGGCCUUGUACACACCGCCCGUCACACCAUGAGAGUUUGUAACACCCAAAGUCGGUGGGGUAACCUUUUAGGAACCAGCCGCCUAAGGUGGGACAGAUGAUUAGGGUG